UUAAGCGACUAAGCGUACACGGUGGAUGCCCUGGCAGUCAGAGGCGAUGAAGGACGUGCUAAUCUGCGAUAAGCGUCGGUAAGGUGAUAUGAACCGUUAUAACCGGCGAUUUCCGAAUGGGGAAACCCAGUGUGUUUCGUCACACUAUCAUUAACUGAAUCCAUAGGUUAAUGAGGCGAACCGGGGGAACUGAAACAUCUAAGUACCCCGAGGAAAAGAAAUCAACCGAGAUUCCCCCAGUAGCGGCGAGCGAACGGGGAGCAGCCCAGAGCCUGAAUCAGUGUGUGUGUUAGUGGAAGCGUCUGGAAAGGCGCGCGAUACAGGGUGACAGCCCCGUACACAAAAAUGCACAUGCUGUGAGCUCGAUGAGUAGGGCGGGACACGUGGUAUCCUGUCUGAAUAUGGGGGGACCAUCCUCCAAGGCUAAAUACUCCUGACUGACCGAAUAGUGAACCAGUGCCGUGAGGGAAAGGCGAAAAGAACCCCGGCGAGGGGAGUGAAAAAGAACCUGAAACCGUGUACGUACAAGCAGUGGGAGCACGCUUAGGCGUGUGACUGCGUACCUUUUGUAUAAUGGGUCAGCGACUUAUAUUCUGUAGCAAGGUUAACCGAAUAGGGGAGCCGAAGGGAAACCGAGUCUUAACUGGGCGUUAAGUUGCAGGGUAUAGACCCGAAACCCGGUGAUCUAGCCAUGGGCAGGUUGAAGGUUGGGUAACACUAACUGGAGGACCGAACCGACUAAUGUUGAAAAAUUAGCGGAUGACUUGUGGCUGGGGGUGAAAGGCCAAUCAAACCGGGAGAUAGCUGGUUCUCCCCGAAAGCUAUUUAGGUAGCGCCUCGUGAAUUCAUCUCCGGGGGUAGAGCACUGUUUCGGCAAGGGGGUCAUCCCGACUUACCAACCCGAUGCAAACUGCGAAUACCGGAGAAUGUUAUCACGGGAGACACACGGCGGGUGCUAACGUCCGUCGUGAAGAGGGAAACAACCCAGACCGCCAGCUAAGGUCCCAAAGUCAUGGUUAAGUGGGAAACGAUGUGGGAAGGCCCAGACAGCCAGGAUGUUGGCUUAGAAGCAGCCAUCAUUUAAAGAAAGCGUAAUAGCUCACUGGUCGAGUCGGCCUGCGCGGAAGAUGUAACGGGGCUAAACCAUGCACCGAAGCUGCGGCAGCGACGCUUAUGCGUUGUUGGGUAGGGGAGCGUUCUGUAAGCCUGUGAAGGUGUACUGUGAGGUAUGCUGGAGGUAUCAGAAGUGCGAAUGCUGACAUAAGUAACGAUAAAGCGGGUGAAAAGCCCGCUCGCCGGAAGACCAAGGGUUCCUGUCCAACGUUAAUCGGGGCAGGGUGAGUCGACCCCUAAGGCGAGGCCGAAAGGCGUAGUCGAUGGGAAACAGGUUAAUAUUCCUGUACUUGGUGUUACUGCGAAGGGGGGACGGAGAAGGCUAUGUUGGCCGGGCGACGGUUGUCCCGGUUUAAGCGUGUAGGCUGGUUUUCCAGGCAAAUCCGGAAAAUCAAGGCUGAGGCGUGAUGACGAGGCACUACGGUGCUGAAGCAACAAAUGCCCUGCUUCCAGGAAAAGCCUCUAAGCAUCAGGUAACAUCAAAUCGUACCCCAAACCGACACAGGUGGUCAGGUAGAGAAUACCAAGGCGCUUGAGAGAACUCGGGUGAAGGAACUAGGCAAAAUGGUGCCGUAACUUCGGGAGAAGGCACGCUGAUAUGUAGGUGAAGCGACUUGCUCGUGGAGCUGAAAUCAGUCGAAGAUACCAGCUGGCUGCAACUGUUUAUUAAAAACACAGCACUGUGCAAACACGAAAGUGGACGUAUACGGUGUGACGCCUGCCCGGUGCCGGAAGGUUAAUUGAUGGGGUCAGCGCAAGCGAAGCUCUUGAUCGAAGCCCCGGUAAACGGCGGCCGUAACUAUAACGGUCCUAAGGUAGCGAAAUUCCUUGUCGGGUAAGUUCCGACCUGCACGAAUGGCGUAAUGAUGGCCAGGCUGUCUCCACCCGAGACUCAGUGAAAUUGAACUCGCUGUGAAGAUGCAGUGUACCCGCGGCAAGACGGAAAGACCCCGUGAACCUUUACUAUAGCUUGACACUGAACAUUGAGCCUUGAUGUGUAGGAUAGGUGGGAGGCUUUGAAGUGUGGACGCCAGUCUGCAUGGAGCCGACCUUGAAAUACCACCCUUUAAUGUUUGAUGUUCUAACGUUGACCCGUAAUCCGGGUUGCGGACAGUGUCUGGUGGGUAGUUUGACUGGGGCGGUCUCCUCCUAAAGAGUAACGGAGGAGCACGAAGGUUGGCUAAUCCUGGUCGGACAUCAGGAGGUUAGUGCAAUGGCAUAAGCCAGCUUGACUGCGAGCGUGACGGCGCGAGCAGGUGCGAAAGCAGGUCAUAGUGAUCCGGUG
rnacentral:rRNA from 1 species